GAUGAACGCUGACAGAAUGCUUAACACAUGCAAGUCGAUGGGGAAGUGGUGCUUGCACCCUGGCAACCAUGGCGGACGGGUGAGUAACGCGUAAGGGACUUACCUGCAGGACUGGGAUAACAGGGGGAAACUCCUGACAAGACCGGAUAAUGUCAUGGAGCUGCAUGGCUUUAUGAUGAAAGGAGACGCCUGCGGAGAGCCUUGCGUCCUAUUAGCUAGUUGGUGAGGUAAUGGCUCACCAAGGCGAAGAUAGGUAGCCGGCCUGAGAGGGUGGACGGCCACAAGGGGACUGAGGUACGGCCCUUACUCCUACGGGAGGCAGCAGUGGGGAAUAUUGGACAAUGGGGGCAACCCUGAUCCAGCAAUUCUGUGUGCACGAAGAAGGUUUUCGGAUUGUAAAGUGCUUUCAGCAGGGAAGAAGUAAGUGACGGUACCUGCAGAAGAAGCGACGGCUAAAUACGUG
rnacentral:rRNA from 1 species